CUGUCACCUUCCCAAGCUGAGGACCACCCCACCCUCGCCCCCCAACAAUCCAUGAGAGAUGGCUGCUGGGGACGGAGUGAUGCUCUUUCUUGCUGUGACCUCCUUAUCCCAACUCCUGCUGACCUUGGAGACCUGAAGAGUUACUUUCCUUACAAUCCUGAACUUCCAACUCCAAACCUAACCCUGCAUGCAGGUCACUGUCUUCGUGGAAAUCUACAGGUGGGAGGCCCUGCAGCUAGACAGCCCUUCCCGGUUGAGAAGAGGGGAGGUAAGGGAAAGGCUGAAAGAUCCGCCUAGAAGCCCAAGUGAGCAGAGUCGGAGCUAGGACCCGAAGAGGCCGAUAGAUGGCGCUCAUGGCCCAACACAGCUCCAGCAGCCCGAGGAAACCAAAGGAAAACAAGUGAGCAGGUUAACCCCUUCCCUCCUGGGCUCAGGACAGAGUUGCUGGCUGGUGGGUAUGCAGGGAGCCCUGCCCCAGGCCUGGUGCCUCAACUCUCUAGGCUCUUA